UGGGGAAUAUUGGGCAAUGGGCGCAAGCCUGACCCAGCGACGCCGCGUGAGGGAAGAAGGCCUUCGGGUUGUAAACCUCUGUUGCAGGGGAAGAAAGACAUGACGGUACCCUGCGAGGAAGCUCCGGCUAACUACGUGCCAGCAGCCGCGGUAAUACGUAGGGAGCGAGCGUUGUCCGGAAUUACUGGGCGUAAAGGGCGCGUAGGCGGUCAUUCAAGUCAUCUGUAAAAUGGAAGGGCUUAACCCUUCAGGGCAGAUGAAACUGGAAGACUGGAGGUGCACAGAAGCAGGCAGAAUUCCUGGUGUAGCGGUGAAAUGCGUAGAUAUCAGGAAGAAUACCAGUGGCGAAGGCGGCCUGCCGGGUGCAAACUGACGCUGAAGCGCGAAAGCCAGGGGAGC
rnacentral:rRNA from 1 species